GAUGAACGCUGGCGGCGUGCCUAAUACAUGCCAGUCGAGCGAACAGACGAGGAGCUUGCUCCUCUGACGUUAGCGGCUGACGGGUGAGUAACACGUGGAUAACCUACCUAUAAGACUGGGAUAACUUCGGGAAACCGGAGCUAAUACCGGAUAAUAUCUUGAACCGCAUGGUUCACUAGUGAAAGACGGUUUUGCUGUCACUUAUAGAUGGAUCCGCGCCGCAUUAGCUAGUUGGUAAGGUAACGGCUUACCAAGGCAACGAUGCGUAGCCGACCUGAGAGGGUGAUCGGCCACACUGGAACUGAGACACGGUCCAGACUCCUACGGGAGGCAGCAGUAGGGAAUCUUCCGCAAUGGGCGAAAGCCUGACGGCGCAACGCCGCGUGAGUGAUGAAGGUCUUCGGAUCGUAAAACUCUGUUAUUAGGGAAGAACAAAUGUGUAAGUAACUAUGCACGUCUUGACGGUACCUAAUCAGAAAGCCACGGCUAACUACGUG
rnacentral:rRNA from 1 species